AGAAAACGUCGAAACGUCCUAUUUCUGCGCACGUGUUGUCGAACAGAAAGAAAGGAUUAAAUUCUCAACUAUGAUUCACUCGUCAAUUCGAGUCCGAUGGAAUUCAGGAAGGACUUCAGUAACGACGUAGACCUGUCGUAGGCUGUGGUUUCAGUGACUUCAUGAAAGCUGCAAUUUGCGUUUUGUCGAUGCCCAGUCAGUGAAUCGUACAAGACUUUGAAGUUUUCCAGGCCAUGAGCCUCCAUACACUUAGCGAGGAGAUUUCAUUAAAGAGCUGGAUCCAGUUCCCCCCAACUCACUUCAAUCGCGUCCAUUCGGAUACCGCAGAAUACCGGAAAUGAAAAAAAUAAAAAAAAUAUAUAU
rnacentral:sRNA from 1 species